rnacentral:rRNA from 1 species
CGUUAAGUCAGGCAACGAGCGAGACCCACGCCAACAGUUGCCAGCUCGUCCUCCGGGAUGGUGGGGACGACUGUUGGGACCGCCUCUGCUAAAGAGGAGGAAGGAAUGGGCAACGGUAGGUCAGCAUGCCCCGAAUUAUCUGGGCUACACGCGGGCUACAAUGGGUGGGACAAUGGGUAUCGACACCGAAAGGUGAAGGCAAUCUCCUAAACCCAUCCGUAGUUCGGAUUGUGGGCUGCAACUCGCCCACAUGAAGCUGGAAUCUGUAGUAAUCGUGUCUCAAAAUGGCACGGUGAAUAUGUCCCUGCUCCUU